UUGAUGUCAGUUCUAGGUAAAAAUAAUGGAAUGGUUAAUUCAGGACUCUAUCAACAAGGAGUUAGAAGCUAAAAAUAUAAUAAAAGCCAGUCAAUGUGGUUUCAUGGAAGAUAGGUUUAUCAGACAAACCUGUUGCCAUUUUUUUUUUUUUUUUAAACAUGGGAUUACGAGUCUGCUUCAUAAAGUGUCUGCACUUCGAGAAGGAUGUGGAAAUACUCGAAAGAGUUCAAAGGCAGGUCACAAAAUCGAUCCGGUUGCCAGAAAACAAGUUUUAAUGUGGUGAUGCUAAAUGAACUCAAUUUAUUCAGUUUAUUGAAGCGAAGGAGCCUUGAUCACUGUGCAUAGCAUUAGAGAAUUGAAAACCAAAUCCUUCUGCUCGUCAUGAUUUCUUUCUCAUCUUGAGGAAGGUCAGGUGGUUUAUUGGAAAAUUCUAUUUAAUAUCAGAAAAAGUUUUGGCAAACUGAUGUUAACAUUAAGCAGAGUGACUUAUUUUCUGUCUACACGUCUGGAAACUGCGCCUGCUCUGAAACAAACUCUACCCAUUUCAACUGGUAUAAAUCUGAACUACCUGGAGGUGACGCUGGAUGUACAUGGCUGUAACUGAGAUAAGAAUAUGCCUCCUGUGUGUCUCAAUCCACUGCU